AAAACAUCGCCUCUUGACUUGAUAUAAGAGGUCCCGCCUGCCCAGUGACAGGAUUCAACGGCCGCGGUACUCUAACCGUGCGAAGGUAGCACAAUAACUUGUUCUUUAAAUAAGGACUAGAAUCAAUGGCUUCACGAGGGUUAUACUGUCUCCUUUUUCUAAUCAGUGAAACUGAUCUCCCCGUGAAGAAGCGGGAAUAUUACUAUAAGACGAGAAGACCCCAUGGAGCUUAAAACUAAAUAGGUACCCUCUACAAAUUACAUGGUAAUCUUGGCUUUAUCUAUUAGUUUUGGGUUGGGGUGACCGCGGAGAACAGCCUAACCUCCGCAAUGAAAAGAAUAAUAUCCUAAUCUAAGAGGGACACCUCUAAGAAUUAAUAAAUUAACAUAUGAUGAUCCAAUAUUCAUAUUUGAUCAAUGAACCAAGUUACCCUGGGGAUAACAGCGCAAUCCACUUCAAGAGUCCCUAUCGACAAGUGGGUUUACGACCUCGAUGUUGGAUCAGGGUAUCCCGGUGGUGCAGCCGCUACUAAAGGUUCGUUUGUUCAACGAUUAAAACCCUAC
rnacentral:rRNA from 1 species